UACGGAGGAUGCAAGCGUUAUCCGGAAUGAUUGGGCGUAAGGCGUCCGCAGGUGGCAAUGUAAGUCUGCUGUUAAAGAGUCUAGCUCAACUAGAUAAAAGCAGUGGAAACUACAUAGCUAGAGUACGUUCGGGGCAGAGGGAAUUCCUGGUGUAGCGGUGAAAUGCGUAGAGAUCAGGAAGAACACCGGUGGCGAAGGCGCUCUGCUAGGCCGUAACUGACACUGAGGGACGAAAGCUAGGGGAGCGAAUGGG
rnacentral:rRNA from 1 species